UCUCUAUUUGAAUCUCGUAACACUAUUCCCAAACAAGACCUGUUUUCUCUAUUAUUAAAUGUAACAUCAAAGUUUAUUUUGAAAACUGAUGAAUCCAAUGGUCACCAUCUUUCGCUGGCUCGACUCCUAACUAGUAACUUCUUCUCCAACUCAUCUAAUUCUCGAAUAUAGCUUUUAAUGAAGUCUGUUAUACUGACCCUGAUCUUUUUUGUCCCUCAUGCACCCAUUUAUUCCUCUCGAUCCAAAUUUCCCAUGAAGUACAAACCAAGGUUCAACACUAAUCAUUGGGUUUAUACGCCAGAAAACAGAUCAAGAUAAACCACGUACGUACCUAGAUCGGGGAAAAGCAAAAUUCUCGGAAUAGCUCGAUUUCGUUUCUACGCCCUAGUCGUCGAGAUCGUCAAAAGCUUGAUUUGGUUGGAAGCUUGUCAGAGAUCUAUCACACUAUCCAGAAGUAUUUUUAGUAUUUUUGAGCAUUUUGACCAAUGAUUAUAAUGGCAUGAAUAGGAUAGUUUAAAAUGAUGUUUUGAUGAACAUGUAAAUGGUAAUUUGGUAUGGUUGUGCCUUGAUGUUUUUGAAUGGUUGUUGGACUCAUCAUGCUUGUUUAAGUAAGUUCUUAUGGUCACUUUCAUGUACUUGUAUAUAAGGCUCCUUUUAUGGUAUGUAUGAAUAGUUUGAAUUAGUCAUUGAUGGAA